rnacentral:tRNA from 1 species
UCCCUGGUGGCUUAGAGGUUAAAGCAUCCGCCUGGAAUGCGGGAGGUCGGGAAGAGCCCCUGGGGAA